GUAGCUCAGUUGGUUAGAGCGCUACCUUGACACGGUAGAGGUCUGGGGUUCGAGUCCCCAC
rnacentral:tRNA from 1 species